GUGGCCACAUCACAUUGAAACACCGGUUCAUGUACGAUCACCGAAGUUAAGCAACAUCAAGUUUGGUCAGUACCUAAAUGGGUAACCGCUUGGGAAUACCAAGUGCUGUAGG